AUGAAAAUCCUUAGGACUGAAAUCCUCUACUUAUCCACAGAGCAGGUAUAGCAGGGAAAGCUUUCUUGCACUGGUGGUGGGCAGUGACAUGACCCUGUGCUAACUGGAGGACACCUCCUCUACAGGCUAAAAGGUAGUCCAGCCAUCAUGCCCAUUCAGUCACUGGUUUGU
rnacentral:sRNA from 1 species